ACGGAGGAGUGUAGUUUGUACACAAGUCAAUAGGUGUAAUGCACCCAAAGGCGUUAUGAAAAUGAGGACACGUGUAAACGGUUUACGUGGGAAAUAUUCUCGUUAUCAUACGGAAAAUAUUAAACCAUAGCGUUGUCUAGUCUGCUGCUUGAAGUUCGGGAGCUGUAGGGCGUGUAGGUGGCCACCCGAAAAGUGGUUAACUAUACCUGAACAGGAUGAAGUCAGAGAAAACUCUGAUAGAACUCCUUAUUUGGUUCUGAUGUGCAACUCAGUCGAUAGACGUAGAUAGAGGGAUGAAAGACUAAUCGGACCAUCUAUUACUUGGAUCGCUUCGAAGUUCAUCCCAAGGACAGCUUGAGUACGCUUUGUGUAAACAAUUAUAUCCCGGUGAAGCCAAUGAUUAAAGAAAUUUGGAUCUAAGCGAUCUCUACGUAUUCCCAAACUUUAAAUGGGUAAGUUUUGUCGGUUUCUUCAUUUUUUAUUAUCACCAUAUCAUUAUUAUCGUUGAUGUUAAACUGUUGAUAUGAACGUGAGAUCAUAAGAUCAUCAUAUUUGCACAUAAGAUCCCAUGAAAGGCGACAGAUAAACCGUAUUGCCUGCUAAAGCUGUAUCACUCCGGUCGAAUGUCGGGGCGCAAAAUUAUAUGUUCAGCAACAUGUGUUAUGCUGAUCAAGAUGUUCUAUUUAGUAGAGCAGUGUUUGUAAACUUCGAUCUGUUCAGACUACCUUAUGAUUGAGUGUUUUUCUGAUCUUUUUAGAAUAUAAAAGCAAUUUUUGGAUUGUUUCGU
rfam:Dictyocaulus viviparus strain HannoverDv2000 D_viviparus-1.0_Cont1279.1, whole genome shotgun sequence.